rnacentral:rRNA from 1 species
ACGGAAGGCAGCAGUGAGGAAUAUUGGUCAAUGGGCGGAAGCCUGAACCAGCCAAGUCGCGUGAAGGAUGAAGGUAUUAUGUAUUGUAAACUUCUUUAGCAGCAGAGUAAUAAGGUCCUCGUGAGGGCUGAUGCAAGUAUGCUGAAAAUAAGGAUCGGCUAACUCCGUGCCAGCAGCCGCGGUAAUACGGAGGAUCCGAGCGUUAUCCGGAUUUAUUGGGUUUAAAGGGUGCGCAGGCGGCUUUUUAAGUCAGCGGUAAAAUCGUGGGGCUCAACCCCAUCCUGCCGUUGAUACUGGAGAGCUUGAUUGCGGUUGAGGUUGGCGGAAUUCGUCGUGUAGCGGUGAAAUGCGUAGAUAUGACGAAGAACACCGAUUGCGUAGGCAGCUGACCAAGCCGUAAAUGACGCUCAUGCACGAAAGUGCGGGGAUCGAACAGGAUUAGAUACCCUGGUA